UAAAAGUACUUAAAACAUGGGACCCGCAAAAUUCAGCUACAUCGUAGAUCACGUCCAACUUAAAACCCGAAGAUCUAACGGCUGUGAGAUUUUCCUCGUUUAUAAGCCUAACUUAAAAGAGUUGUUCUUGGGUUCACUCUCUUUAGGUUCACCAACCAAUAAAAAAUUAUCAUUUUAGAUUUAAUUAAGGAACCCAAAUAACUUGGUAAAUUAUAUUAUCUUUUCAAAAUAAAAUUUAAAAAUAAAUAAAAAUAAUAUAUAAAAAACGAAUUAAAAAAAAUAAUGUCAACAAAACACUAAACCCUAAACUCUAAUACUAAACCCUAAACUCAAAUCCUAAACCCUAAACCCUAGGAUAAACCCUAAAUUUUUGGGUAAACCCUAAAUCCUUGGAAAAACACUAAACAUGUUGUCAACAAAACACUAAACUCUAAUCCUAAACCCUAAACCCUUGGAAAAAUCCUAAACCCUUGGGUAAACCCUAAACCCUUAGGUAAACCCUAAAUCCUA
rnacentral:lncRNA from 1 species